UCAACAACUUUAUUGGCUGGAUUCUAAAUCCCAUGCAGAGCACUCAAGAUGGACAAAAUCAUGGUUAUGACAGUCAACAAGUUGACAAGUUGCAUCAGUGGAUAACAUUGCAAGCUUUCAUCAAGCCUGUCAUCAAGCUGAUGGUGUUUUCUUCUAUUGCCAUCUUCACAAGAGAUGAUUAACCACAACAGACCAGUCAGAUCAACCUGAAAGUGAUAUGAAAGCAAUAAACUCGAGCAGGCUAUUGUUCAAUGAAGACGUGACCACAGAUAAUGGCAAACAGUCAAGGGGCACAUUACUGGCUUGAUCUGGUAUGAUGAUCAAGUUACUGAGCUGUCUUGAAUGGAACAUACAGGCCUGUGGAAAAGGAGACAAUACAAAACUUCCAGGGAACUGCUUUAAAAUUAUUGUAUUGGAUAUAAGUCAUGGACAUUGUUGAUGGUAACAAAUACUGUUCAAUUUAAUUUGAAGGGAGUUGAGACGGACAAGAUGAAUAUUUUGAGAUUUUGUUUCAGAUCUACUGAUAGGUCUAUUUAUUCAUUCUAAGGUUCCAGUGGAAAUCAAGGUCUGUUAAGUCUGUACAGGUGUUGUCUAGGUUUGGCUGCAAGUUCUAGUGUCUUGUUAUUUUUUUCAGUAAAACUAUCAAAUCACAAACAGUCUCAGGUCAUAACAUCAAAUGAAACUUCUAAAUAAUAUCCUAAUGCCAAGAAAUCAAAGCUAAAUAAUUGGAAAUGAUAGUUUCAAUACUAUUAUUUACAAAAAAUAGUUUGAUUUUAAAGACAAUGUGAAAGCUUAUUUUUUAAUUUAAAUAAUAGUUUGAAAGCUAUUAUUUAAAAUUGAAAUAGCUUGUACUGAAAGCUACUAAUUUUGAGAAAUAGUCUUUGAAGCUAUUGUUUACAAAUAAUAGCUUUUCAACAGGCGUUUCUUAAAAUUAUGAUUGCUUAAAUGAUGCUCUUAUUUAGAAAACUCAUUUAAUAUUAUACCUGAGUAUCUAGGUGAUUAGAUUGCCCUACUGAAAAAAGAACACGACACAGAUGAGCUUAUAAGCCAAAUCUGGGCGAGACUGAAACAGAUUGAAGUUGAGUUUGAUUUCUGCCUGAGCCCGAGAGUUUUUAGACUUCAAUUCCAAAUUUUAAUUGAGCUAUGAUCAUUAUUACAUAGUUAUUUUCAAAAUACAUAUAGUGAACUGAUGUAGUUCCAACUCUCAAGAAUAUCAAACUACAAUUAAUAAUUGAAAAUUCUGAACUUGGGACAUUAUGAGUUCUCCUUCAUUUGCUUAUUAAGCUGAACUAAUCUUGACACAUAACCCUAAUCAGUAACUUAACAGACUAACUACAAAUGAUUAUAGUAACCACUAUAAUAAUUUAUUACAUAUAUGGGGACUUCCUGGUGUUCCUGAGUUCAGAUUAAAGGAACUGAAGAAACCUACAAACCUUAAGAUCCAUGUAAAUCAAAUCAAAAAUGACGAUUUUUUUAAUCCAAGUAGAAUAACAUCAAAAGUCAGUAAUUUUUUUAUGAGUUGUAUUUUGUAUUUUUAGAAUUUGAAAUGAUGUAAACUAAAAUAUAACAAUCAGAAUGUAUGUAUAGCACUAGAAUUUGUGUGUACAUGUUCAUGUUUAAAUUGCUGGACACAAACGCAAGAUUAAGUUUGAAAAACUUAUCAUUUAGGCCUGAGGGGGCAAGUGUUUGGAGUUGGGAGACAGGGGCUUGGAUUUGGGAAACAGGGCUUUGGGGAACAGGGGUUUGGAUUAGGGAGAUGGAGGCUUGGAUUUGGGGAACAAGGGUUUGGAGUUGGGGGAUAGGGGUUUGGAUUUUGUUGGCAGGUUUGGAGUUACGUUGGGGGAAAGGGGCUUGAAUCUGGACAGAGGUUUGGAUUUGGGGGACAGGGACUGGGUCAGAGGUUCAAUCAGGUUCAGUUGGGUUUAAUGGUUUUGGGGUUGUCCUUUCAGAUAAGUUUUUUCAAACUCAAUUGAGUGUUUGUAUCAAGCUAUAAAAACACAGCAUGGCCAGUUUCUGCUUCUCCUGUGAAAUAAGAAAAAAAAAGAAUUAAUGUGAUGUUGAAUAACCAUACUUUGUUUACUUAGCCUUGAACAAAUAGUGAAUCAAAAUAGUGGUUGUAUGUAUUAAAUCUAUUGUUUUCUUAA